rnacentral:tRNA from 1 species
GGGGUUGUGGCUCAGUGGCAGAGCUCUUACCUCACAUGUGUGAGGCACUGGGUUCGAUUCUCAGUAGUACCC